CCCCCUCAAGAUGAGAUUUCCCAAUUCGUAAGACCCCUUGAAGACGACGAGGUUGAUAGGCUGGGGGUGGAAGCACAGCAAUGUGUGGAGCUGACCAGUACUAAUCGGUCGAGGGCUUAUCCUAA
rnacentral:rRNA from 1 species